rnacentral:rRNA from 1 species
GACGAGCGCUGGCGGCGUGCUUAACACAUGCAAGUCGAACGAUGAAGCCGGAGCUUGCUCUGGUGAAUUAGUGGCGAACGGGUGAGUAACACGUGAGUAACCUGCCCUUGACUCUGGGAUAACUGCGGGAAACUGUAGCUAAUACCGGAUACGACCCUCGGAGGCAUCUCCUGGGGGUGGAAAGAAUUUCGGUCAAGGAUGGACUCGCGGCCUAUCAGCUAGUUUGUGAGGUAAAGGCUCACUAAGGCGGCGACGGGUAGCCGGCCUGAGAGGGUGACAGGCGACACUGGAACUGAGACACGGCCCAGACUCCUACGGGAGGCAGCCGUGGGGAAUAUUGGACAAUGGGCGCAAGCCUGAUCCAGCCAUGCCGCGUGAGUGAUGAAGGCCUUAGGGCUGUAAGGCUCUUUCAGUGGGGACGAUAAUGACGGUACCCGCAGAAAAAGCACCGGCUAACUACGUGCCAGCCGCCGCCGUAA